AGGCGCACACCGGCAACCAGGGGCAACCAGUGGGAAAACAUGGACGCUACCUCCAGGCCCAUCCCUUCCUCCUUGUGCACCACCUGAAUCGCGAUUGGGGAAUGUGUUGUCUGAUGCGGGUGAAUGAAGGUCAUCCAUGUAUGCGGGACCAUAUACAAGAUAAAUGGUGCAUUGGAUGAACUUGUUACUACAGAGUUUUCCACAUUCAUUCUAUGCCCAUUACUCAUUUGCUUCGUAAGUUCCUACAAUAUUGUUUAUGUUGAUUUAUUCCACUCAUAAUCAUAAUUCACCGGGCCGCCGUCGCCGCCACGUUGAGGCCUUGGACACCAAGCGACAUCCUUUCCCAUGAGGCUUAAUUCAGUACAUGCUUCUCUGAAUUUCUACGAGCUUAAUUCAGAACAAUAGAUCAUUGGGAGUGCUUCUACUUGAGUUCAUAUUGGGUGUAUAUUCCAGUUGUAAUAUGCCCCCAAACUGUAGCAUUGGCACUAUCUUGCAUGUUCGCUCAUGCCAGGAGCAGUAUUGCGUGCCACUAUGACAUCUGCAUGCCCAUGACGGUCUGUGGCAUGG